CAUUUCUAUCCCCUCCUUCCACAUCAUUGUCAGCCCCCCUCGCUUGCCAUGACUACUUAUUGCGAAGCAAUUUUGGAAAUUUAGCUCUGCUGCUCUUCUUUUCAUGAGCUGCCCCAUCAAUUUUGUUUCACAAAAAAACAUAAUUUCUGGUUUAUGCUCACGGAGGAUCAUUUUGAUUUCUCGGAAUGUCCGGUCCUUCCUCAUUCCCCGAACAUUCCAGCUGAUGAGCUUCAUGGUUGUCGGCGGGGCUGGCUCCCAGCCUCCGCCGUUGGUUCCUCAGUGAUUGUGGUUGAAAUUUCCAUGUCAUUCGUGUUGUGAGCUUCCCACCUUAAUUUGAUUUUUGCUCGGGGAGAAUUGUAGCUGUACUCUGUAGUUGUUAGCUUAUUUGGGCUGAGCGUUUUGCUUCUCUUUGGUUGCGGACUCAGCUAGCCCAUUUCAC
rnacentral:lncRNA from 1 species